GACAGAAGGUGCAAGCGUUACUCGGAAUUACUGGGCGUAAAGCGUCUGUAGGUUUCCAACCACGUCUGGCGUGAAAUCAUGGAGCUCAACUCCAUGCCCACACUGGAAACGAGUCGGAUAGAGUCAUUCAGGGGCAUCUGGAAUGUCGUGUGUAGGGGUAAAAUCCGUAGAUACACGAUGGAACGCCAAAAGUGAAGACAGGAUGCUUGGAAUGCACUGACACUCAGAGACGAAAGCGUGGGGAGCAAAGGGG
rnacentral:misc_RNA from 1 species